GACGAACGCUGGCGGCGUGCUUAACACAUGCAAGUCGAACGGAAAGGCCUGCUUUCCCUUGUGGAUUGCGGGUACUCGAGUGGCGAACGGGUGAGUAACACGUGAGUGAUCUGUCCCCAACUUGGGUAUAAGCCUGGGAAACUGGGUCUAAUUCCCGAUAGGACUGCAGGGUGGUGCCUGUGGUGGAAAACGAUUUUCUAGUGGUUGGGGAUGAGCUCGCGGCCUAUCAGCUUGUUGGUGGGGUAAUGGCCUACCAAGGCGGCGACGGGUAGCCGGCCUGGGAGGGUGGACGGCCACAUUGGGACUGAGAUACGGCCCAGACUCCUACGGGAGGCAGCAGUGGGGAAUAUUGCACAAUGGGCGGAAGCCUGAUGCAGCGACGCCGCGUGGGGGAUGACGGCCUUCGGGUUGUAAACUCCUUUCGACCGCGAGGAAGCCACCUGGUUGGAAGGGUGGUGACGGUAGUGGUAGAAGAAGCACCGGCUAACUACGUG
rnacentral:rRNA from 1 species